rnacentral:rRNA from 1 species
UAUGUCAGAGACAGUUAUUGAGCAUCAAACUUUAAAUUGAAGAGUUUGAUCAUGGCUCAGAUUGAACGCUGGCGGCAGGCUUAACACAUGCAAGUCGAACGGUAACAUGAGUGCUUGCACUUGAUGACGAGUGGCGGACGGGUGAGUAAAGUAUGGGGAUCUGCCGAAUGGAGGGGGACAACAGUUGGAAACGACUGCUAAUACCGCAUAAAGUUGAGAGACCAAAGCAUGGGACCUUCGGGCCAUGCGCCAUUUGAUGAACCCAUAUGGGAUUAGCUAGUUGGUAGGGUAAUGGCUUACCAAGGCGACGAUCUCUAGCUGGUCUGAGAGGAUGACCAGCCACACUGGAACUGAGACACGGUCCAGACUCCUACGGGAGGCAGCAGUGGGGAAUAUUGCACAAUGGGGGAAACCCUGAUGCAGCCAUGCCGCGUGUAUGAAGAAGGCCUUCGGGUUGUAAAGUACUUUCGGUGAUGAGGAAGGUGGUGUAUCUAAUAGGUGCAUCAAUUGACGUUAAUUACAGAAGAAGCACCGGCUAACUCCGUGCCAGCAGCCGCGGUAAUACGGAGGGUGCGAGCGUUAAUCGGAAUGACUGGGCGUAAAGGGCAUGUAGGCGGAUAAUUAAGUUAGGUGUGAAAGCCCUGGGCUCAACCUAGGAAUUGCACUUAAAACUGGUUAACUAGAGUAUUGUAGAGGAAGGUAGAAUUCCACGUGUAGCGGUGAAAUGCGUAGAGAUGUGGAGGAAUACCGGUGGCGAAGGCGGCCUUCUGGACAGAUACUGACGCUGAGAUGCGAAAGCGUGGGGAGCAAACAGGAUUAGAUACCCUGGUAGUCCACGCUGUAAACGAUGUCGAUUUGGAGUUUGUUGCCUAGAGUGAUGGGCUCCGAAGCUAACGCGAUAAAUCGACCGCCUGGGGAGUACGGCCGCAAGGUUAAAACUCAAAUGAAUUGACGGGGGCCCGCACAAGCGGUGGAGCAUGUGGUUUAAUUCGAUGCAACGCGAAGAACCUUACCUGGUCUUGACAUCCACAGAAUCUUGCAGAGAUGCGGGAGUGCCUUCGGGAACUGUGAGACAGGUGCUGCAUGGCUGUCGUCAGCUCGUGUUGUGAAAUGUUGGGUUAAGUCCCGCAACGAGCGCAACCCUUAUCCUUUGUUGCCAUCGGUUAGGCCGGGAACUCAAAGGAGACUGCCGUUGAUAAAGCGGAGGAAGGUGGGGACGACGUCAAGUCAUCAUGGCCCUUACGACCAGGGCUACACACGUGCUACAAUGGCGUAUACAAAGGGAGGCGACCUCGCGAGAGCAAGCGGACCUCAUAAAGUACGUCUAAGUCCGGAUUGGAGUCUGCAACUCGACUCCAUGAAGUCGGAAUCGCUAGUAAUCGUGAAUCAGAAUGUCACGGUGAAUACGUUCCCGGGCCUUGUACACACCGCCCGUCACACCAUGGGAGUGGGUUGCACCAGAAGUAGAUAGCUUAACCUUCGGGAGGGCGUUUACCACGGUGUGGUCCAUGACUGGGGUGAAGUCGUAACAAGGUAACCGUAGGGGAACCUGCGGUUGGAUCACCUCCUUAC